rnacentral:rRNA from 1 species
AGCGAACGCUGGCGGCAGGCCUAACACAUGCAAGUCGAACGGAUCCUUCGGGAUUAGUGGCGGACGGGUGAGUAACACGUGGGAACGUGCCCUUUGGUUCGGAACAACUCAGGGAAACUUGAGCUAAUACCGGAUGUGCCCUUCGGGGGAAAGAUUUAUCGCCAUUGGAGCGGCCCGCGUCUGAUUAGCUAGUUGGUGAGGUAACGGCCCACCAAGGCGACGAUCAGUAGCUGGUCUGAGAGGAUGGUCAGCGACACUGGGACAGAGACACGGCACAGACUCCUACGGGAGGCAGCAGUGGGGAAUCUUGCGGAAUGGGCGAAAGCCUGACGCAGCCAUGCCGCGUGAAUGAUGAAGGUCUUAGGAUUGUAAAAUUCUUUCAGCGGGGACGAUAAUGACGGUACCCGGAGAAGAAGCUCCGGCUAACUACGUG